AGGUAGCGAAAUUCCUUGUCAGGUAAGUUCUGACCCGCACGAAAGGCGUAAUGAUUUGAACACUGUCUCAACAAUGUACCCGGCGAAAUUGUAGUACUAGUGAAGAUGCUAGUUACCUGCGACAAGACAGAAAGACCCCAUGGAGCUUUACUGCAGCUUGAUACUGGGUUUUGGUAAUUUAUGUACAGGAUAGGUGGGAUACUAAGAAGCAAGUGCGCCAGCAUUUGUGGAGUAGACGUUGGGAUACCACUCUUAAAUUAUUGAAAUUCUAACCUGUGAUCAUGAACUGGUCAGGGGACAAUGUCAGGCGGGCAGUUUGACUGGGGCGGUCGCCUCCUAAAGAGUAACGGAGGCGCCCAAAGGUUUCCUCAGCACGGACAGAAAUCGUGCGAAAGAGUGUAAAGGCAGAAGGAAGCUUAACUGGGAGACUGACAAGUCGAGCAGAUACGAAAGUAGGGCUUAGUGAUCCGGCGGUAGUGAGUGGAAAUGCCGUCGCUCAACGGACAAAAGUUACCCUGGGGAUAACAGGCUUAUCUCCCCCAAGAGUUCACAUCGACGGGGAGGUUUGGCACCUCGAUGUCGGCUCAUCGCAUCCUGGAGCUGAAGUCGGUUCCAAGGGUUGGGCUGUUCGCCCAUUAAAGCGGUACGCGAGCUGGGUUCAGAACGUCGUGAGACAGUUCGGUCCUUAUCUGUCGCAGGCGUAGGAUAUUUGAAGGGAGCUGUCCUUAGUACGAGAGGACCAGGAUGGACAUACCGAUGGUGUAUCAGUUGUCACACCAGUGGCACGGCUGAGUAGCUAAGUAUGGAAGGGAUAAACGCUGAAAGCAUCUAAGUGUGAAGCCCACCUUAAGAUAAGAUAUCCCAUUGCGUAAGCAAGUAAGAUCCCAUGAAGACUACAUGGUAGAUAGGUUGGGGGUGUAAGUACAGUAAUGUAUUAAGCUGACCAAUACUAAUAGAUCGAGGGCUUAACCAC
rnacentral:rRNA from 1 species